rnacentral:misc_RNA from 1 species
UCUCCGUUGGUGAACCAGCGGAGGGAUCAUUACCGAGUUUACAACUCCCAAACCCCUAUGUGAACGUUACCAAACUGUUGCCUCGGCGGGAAAUUCAUGCCCCGGGCGCGUCGCAGCCCCGGACCAAGGCGCCCGCCGGAGGACCAACCAAAACUCUUUUGUAUGUCCCUCGCGGACUUUUAUAAUUCUGAACCAUCUCGGCACCCCUAGCGGGCGUUUCGAAAAUGAAUCAAAACUUUCAACGACGGAUCUCUUGGUUCUG